UGUGUGUGUGUGUGUGUGUGUGUGUGUGUGUGUGUGUGUGUGUGUGUGUGUGUGUGUGUAUGUGUGUGUGGGCGUAUACUACACUUCAUGCUUGAGUGUGCGUGAACAUGAAGCACCAAUCGAUCUCCCGCUGGCUAAGCCAACUGGGACUGCCACAGUACUGCACCACGUUUGAGCAGGAAUAUGACGGUGUCGAGGACUUGCUCCACCUGUCGGAGUGUGAGCUUUUGGAGCUAGGAGUUCACAAUUUCCUCCAUCGCCUCCACCUUCUCACCUCCCUACGGCUCCUGCAAGAGCGGGAGUGGAGGAGAGAGUUGAGGAUGAUGGCUGAGGGACGCUUUGCCAGCCUACCCAGGUCCCUCAACACACAGCAUGCCCUAGGAGGAGGCCCCGCCCGGCCGGGGGAGCCCAGGGGUCCACUGGGUGUGUCUGGGGCC
ensembl:lncRNA